CCUACGGGUGGCAGCAGUGGGGGAUAUUGCACAAUGGGGGGAACCCUGAUGCAGCGACGCCGCGUGGGUGAAGGAGUGCUUCGGCAUGUAAAGCCCUAUCGGCAGGGAAGAAGCAAGACGGUACCUGACUAAGAAGACCCGGCUAACUACGCGCCAGAAGCCGCGGUAAUACGUGGGGGGCGAGCGUUAGCCGGAUUUACGGGGUGUAAAGGGAGCGUAGACGGCAGGGCAAGUCUGGAGUGAAAGGCGGGGGCUCAACCCCCGGACUGCCCUGGAAACUGUACGGCUGGAGUGCCGGAGAGGUAAGUGGAAUUCCUAGUGUAGCGGUGAAAUGCGUAGAUAUUAGGAGGAACACCAGUGGCGAAGGCGGCUUACUGGACUGUAACUGACGUUGAGGCUCGAAAGCGUGGGGAGCAAACAGGAUUAGAUACCCCUGUAGUC
rnacentral:rRNA from 1 species